GAUGAAGAACGCAGCGAAAUGCGAUAAGUAAUGUGAAUUGCAGAAUUCAGUGAAUCAUCGAAUCUUUGAACACACAUUGCGCCCGCCAGUAUUCUGGCGGGCAUGCCUGUUCGAGCGUCAUUUCAACCAUCAAGCCCCCGGCUUGUGUUGGGGACCUGCGGCUGCCGCAGGCCCUGAAAAGCAGUGGCGGGCUCGCUGUCACACCGAGCGUAGUAGCAUACAUCUCGCUCUGGGCGUGCUGCGGGUUCCGGCCGUUAAACCACCUUCAUAACCCAAGGUUGACCUCGGAUCAGGUAGGAAGACCCGCUGAACUUAAGCAUAUCAAUAAGCGGAGGA
rnacentral:misc_RNA from 1 species